GAUGAAGAACGCAGCGAAAUGCGAUAAGUAAUGUGAAUUGCAGAAUCCAGUGAAUCAUCGAAUCUUUGAACGCACAUUGCGCCCGCCAGCAUUCUGGCGGGCAUGCCUGUUCGAGCGUCAUUUCAACCCUCGACCUCCCUUUGGGGAAGUCGGCGUUGGGGACCGGCAGCACACCGCCGGCCCUGAAAUGGAGUGGCGGCCCGUCCGCGGCGACCUCUGCGUAGUAAACCAACUCGCACCGGAACCCCGACGUGGCCACGCCGUAAAACACCCAACUUCUGAACGUUGACCUCGAAUCAGGUAGGACUACCCGCUGAGCUUAAGCAUAUCAAUAAGCGGAGGA
rnacentral:misc_RNA from 1 species